UUUAGAGCCAUAUCACCCUGCAGUUCUCACCUGCUUUCCCACUGAAGCUAAGCAGGAUUGAGCCUGGACAGUACUUGGAUGGGAGACUUCUUGGGGAAAACUAAGGUUGCUGCUGGAA
rnacentral:rRNA from 1 species